AUUCUCCUCCUUUUUUAUUUCCUACACAGAAACGCCCCAGCAGCACCCAGUCCCCUGCUCAGGAGCUCACAGCGCCGACCGGGCCGGUACGGCCACAGCGGUCAGCCCGGGGCGCUCCCUGCCGCCCCCAAGCCCCGUCCCGCGGCAGGCCUCCCGCGCCCUGCCGCCCCCCCAGCCCCGUCCCGCGGCAGGCCUCCCGCACCCUGCCGGCACUCCGAGCGAGGCCGCCCGCUGCCCCCACUCGAGCAGCGCGGUCUCCGCUUCCCUGCCCCGCGGCGGGGGCGAGCCGGGCUCGGCGGGGCCGAGCUGCUGACGGCUCUCCCAGCUCGGCGGGGCAGGCGCCGAGCCGAACCGAGCCCCCNCCUCGCUCAGGCGCCGCGCGGCCCCUCGGCAGCUAGGCCCGGCCCGGAUCCCCGGCGUCGCGUGGCGAGGCCCGCCAGCGGCCUUACCGCCUCCACGGCGUGCUGCAGGAUGGAGGUGAACUUGGAGAACAUCCUGUCCCGCGACUGCAGCAGCCGCUGCCGGGAGGACCGCGAGAGCUCCUCGAUCCGCCGCCGCCGCUCCAGGAAGACGGAUAGUAUGCAUCUUCCUCCCUUUGAAGAAGACCAGGUGGGCUUUACUUCAUCUCCAAGUCAGAUACCUCAGAGAAAAAAGUCACCCUCCCCAUUGUUCCAUGCUGCGGGAAAAGCAGAGAUUUCUUCAGGAAGAUUCUGAGACUUGUUUACGCCGCUCUUAACGUGACUGUGAGGCUGUGCCUUUGGCUGACUGCCUUGUGUUCCUUCCCAGGCAUGUCCUGAGUCCCUGUGAAACAGCCACCACAAUUUUAAUGAGAUUUUGUCAGAAAGUGCAUCCAGAUGCGGGUGUGUGCUUUAACUGCAGGAAUGACUGGUGCCAGGAUUGGGGCUGUAGCACGACAAGGGAUAAGGCAUUCAGUUCCUGAAGAAGAGCCAGUACUUUGUGUCUCUCAAAUCAAAUUGCGUCCAACAGCUGAUUAAGAAAUGAUCUUGAUAUGUGCUGAAGGGAGUCCUGUCCUCUUCUAUACUUCUCAGCCAGAGAGCCCUGAGAUGUGGUGAUCAGAGUAGAAAAUAAAUAUGAAGAAAAUAGCAUUUUAGGAAUGAAGAGAGCAUGAGCAAUGUCUGAAUUCCAGGGGUACAGGAAGAAACCUGAGUAUCCCUUAUGGACAAAUGUCAAGUACUCACGUACACUUUAACACUGAUGAAGAUGAUUAAAUUCUUUGGGCCCAGGCUUCUACUGCAUAAGCCCAGCUGUGCGCAGCACAAUGUAUACGCUUCUCAGAGUGUGGCUCACUGACAUCACAACUAUCAAUCAGUGAAUUUUUGCUGGUGAUUCCUACAACUUUCUCCAGGUGUCUGAGCGCUGAGAGAUCUUAAUUCUGGUUUAUUCAUAAUAUUCUGUGAUGUUCUUGCUGUUAUUCAUGAACACGUGCACUUUGGCCAUGAAGAUGUCUGUCAUGAUUUAUGUUGAUGUAAAAGAUACUCUGUGUAAAAACGCUUCCACGUUUAAUCAACUCUGAUUGUGUAAUUUCAUUACAUUUGGC
ensembl:lncRNA